AUUGAACGCUGGCGGCAUGCUUUACACAUGCAAGUCGGACGAGUGGCGAACGGGUGAGUAAUAUAUCGGAACGUACCGCGUAAUGGGGGAUAACUAAUCGAAAGCUUAGCUAAUACCGCAUAUUAUUCGAGCGGCCGAUAUCUGAUUAGCUAGUUGGUGGGGUAAAGGCCUACCAAGGCGACGAUCAGUAGCGGGUCUGAGAGGAUGAUCCGCAAAAUUGGUACUGAGCACGGGCCCAGACUCCUACGGGAGGCAGAAGUGGGGAAUUUUGGACAAGGGGCGCAAGCCUGAUACAGCCAGGCCGCGUGUCGGAAGAAGGCCUUCGGGUUGAAAAGGACGUUUGUCAGGGAAGCGGUACCGGAAGAAUAAGCACCGGCUAACUACGUGCCAGCAGCCGCGGUAAUAC
rnacentral:rRNA from 1 species